rnacentral:tRNA from 1 species
UCCUCCAUAGCUCAGUGGUAGAGCGUCCAACCGGCACCUGGAAGGUCAUGGUUUCAAUUCCCGUUAGGGAGCUCAGAA